rnacentral:rRNA from 1 species
CUGCUGCCUCCCGUAGGAGUAUGGACCGUGUCUCAGUUCCAUUGUGGCCGAUCAGUCUCUCAACUCGGCUAUGCAUCAUCGCCUUGGUAAGCCGUUACCUUACCAACUAGCUAAUGCACCGCAGGUCCAUCCCAGAGUGAUAGCCAAAGCCAUCUUUCAAAUAAAAGCCAUGCGGCUUUUAUUGUUAUGCGGUAUUAGCAUCUGUUUCCAAAUGUUACUCCCCCGCUCCGGGGCAGGUUACCUACGUU